UACGUAGGGUGCAAGCGUUGUCCGGAAUUAUUGGGCGUAAAGAGCUCGUAGGCGGUCUGUCGCGUCGGUCGUGAAAACUUGGGGCUUAACCCUGAGCUUGCAGUGGGUACGGGCAGACUAGAGUGCGGUAGGGGAGACUGGAAUUCCUGGUGUAGCGGUGAAAUGCGCAGAUAUCAGGAGGAACACCGGUGGCGAAGGCGGGUCUCUGGGCCGUAACUGACGCUGAGGAGCGAAAGCAUGGGGAGCGAACAGG
rnacentral:rRNA from 1 species